ACUCCUACGGGAGGCAGCAGUGGGGAAUAUUGGACAAUGGGCGCAAGCCUGAUCCAGCCAUGCCGCGUGAGUGAUGAAGGCCCUAGGGUUGUAAAGCUCUUUCACCGGUGAAGAUAAUGACGGUAACCGGAGAAGAAGCCCCGGCUAACUUCGUGCCAGCAGCCGCGGUAAUACGAAGGGGGCUAGCGUUGUUCGGAUUUACUGGGCGUAAAGCGCACGUAGGCGGACUAUUAAGUCAGGGGUGAAAUCCCGGGGCUCAACCCCGGAACUGCCUUUGAUACUGGUAGUCUUGAGUUCGAGAGAGGUGAGUGGAAUUCCGAGUGUAGAGGUGAAAUUCGUAGAUAUUCGGAGGAACACCAGUGGCGAAGGCGGCUCACUGGCUCGAUACUGACGCUGAGGUGCGAAAGCGUGGGGAGCAAACAGGAUUAGAUACCCCAGUAGUCCC
rnacentral:rRNA from 1 species